UGUUCAAAGGUUCAUAGAUGACCGGCAGGGUCAAUUAAUAAUCACAGUGGUUGUAGAGGGUGCAACAGGUCAGUACCUCAGGAGUUUAUGUCAGUUGGCUUUUCAUAGCCGAGCAUUCAGAGGUCGAGACAGCAGAUGUGAUAGAGAGAGAGAGUCGAAUACAGCAGGUGUGAUAGAGAGAGAGAGUCGAAUACAGCAGGUGUGAUAGAGAGAGAGAGAGUCGAAUACAGCAGGUGUGAUAGAGAGAGAGAGAGUCGAAUACAGCAGGUGUGAUAGAGAGAGAGAGAGAGUCGAAUACAGCAGGUGUGAUAGAGAGAGAGAGAGAGUCGAAUACAGCAGGUGUGAUAGAGAGAGAGAGAGUCGAUACAGCAGUGUGAUAGAGAGAGAGAGAGAGAGGUCAAAAUACAGCAGGGUGUGAUAGAGAGAGAGAGAGAGAGAGUCGAAUAACAGCAGGUGGUGAUAGAGAGAGAGCCAGAGAGUCGAAU
rnacentral:lncRNA from 1 species